rnacentral:rRNA from 1 species
CAUCCCUUAAUCGGAGAGUUCCCUUCGGGGACAUUGGUGACAGGUGGUGCAUGGUUGUCGUCAGCUCGUGUCGUGAGAUGUUGGGUUAAGUCCCGCAACGAGCGCAACCCUUGUCUUUAGUUGCCAGCAUUAAGUUGGGCACUCUAGAGAGACUGCCAGGGAUAACCUGGAGGAAGGUGGGGAUGACGUCAAAUCAUCAUGCCCCUUAUGCUUAGGGCUACACACGUGCUACAAUGGGUAGUACAGAGGGUUGCCAAGCCGUAAGG